GAUCUGUAAGCGAAGCAGAUAGAAAGAAAGAGAGAGAGAGAGAGAGAGAGAGAGAGAGAGAGUGAGUGAAAACGGUGCAAAGUGAGUUUCAGCGGGGUAAAGUUUGUGAGUAGGCCACAAAUUGUAACCGCAACAGUGCUGACAAGAUGCCAAUAGAUUGUUAUUGUCUGCCCCGGUCUCAUAUGUAUGUGACCUACGCUCUCUCUGGAUUUUGAUUGCCAAAAACCAAAUGCGAAACAUCCAACCAGCCAGCCGGCAAACCAAAUUGAAUCACAUAAUUGAAUUAUACCGGAACAUAUGCAAAAAAAAA